GGAAUUGACGGGGCCGCACAAGCGGUGGAGUAUGUGGUUUAAUUCGAUGCAACGCGAAGAACCUUACCUGGUCUUGACAUCCCGGAGACCCUUAGGAACUAGGGGUGCUUCCAUCUGGAAGAAUCUGGAGACAGGUGCUGCAUGGCUGUCGUCAGCUCGUGUCGUGAGAUGUUGGGUUAAGUCCCGCAACGAGCGCAACCCUUGCCUUUAGUUGCCAGCAGUUCGGCUGGGCACUCUAAAGGGACUGCCGGUGUUAAACCGGAGGAAGGUGGGGAUGACGUCAAGUCCUCAUGGCCUUUAUGACCAGGGCUACACACGUACUACAAUGGCCGAUACAAAGGGCAGCGACACUGCGAGGUGAAGCCAAUCCCGUAAAAUCGGUCUCAGUCCGGAUUGGAGUCUGCAACUCGACUCCAUGAAGUUGGAAUCGCUAGUAAUCGUGGAUCAGCAUGCCACGGUGAAUACGUUCCCGGGCCUU
rnacentral:rRNA from 1 species